UCGAGAAUCUUCGGCAAUGGGGGAAACCCUGACCGAGCGACGCCGCGUGUGAGAUGAAGGCCUUCGGGUUGUAAAUCACUGUCGUAGAGGAGGAAAUGUAGGUGGGUUCUCCCACUUAUUUGACCUAUUCUAGGAGGAAGGACGGGCUAAGUUCGUGCCAGCAGCCGCGGUAAUACGGACCGUCCAAACGUUAUUCGGAAUCACUGGGCUUAAAGGGUGCGUAGGCGGUCCGGGAAGUUGGGUGUGAAAGCCCUCGGCUCAACCGAGGAAUUGCGUCCAAAACUGCCGGACUUGAGGGAGACAUAGGUGAGCGGAACCUAGGGUGGAGCGGUGAAAUGCGUUGAGAUCCUAGGGAACACCAGUAGCGAAAGCGGCUCACUGGGUCUCUUCUGACGCUCAUGUGCGAAAGCUAGGGUAGCGAACG
rnacentral:rRNA from 1 species